rnacentral:rRNA from 1 species
UUUCGCAAUGCCCGAAAGGGUGACGAAGCGACGCCGCGUGGGUGAGGAAGGCCUUCGGGUUGUAAAGCCCUGUCAGGAGUUAUGAAAUGUAAGUGCGCUAAUAUCGUGCUUAUUUGACAAAGGCUCCAAAGGAAGCCACGGCUAACUCUGUGCCAGCAGCCGCGGUAAUACAGAGGUGGCGAGCGUUGUUCGGAAUUAUUGGGCGUAAAGAGCACGUAGGUGGGUUUGCAAGUCAGAUGUGAAAGCCUUCUGUUCAACGGAAGAAUUGCAUCUGAAACUGCUAAUCUUGAGUAUAGGAGGGGAGAAUGGAACUUCUGGUGGAGCGGUGAAAUGCGUAGAUAUCAGAAGGAACGCCGGCGGCGAAAGCGAUUCUCUGGCCUAUUACUGACACUCAGUGGGCGAAAGCUAGGGGAGCAAACGGGAUUAGAUACCCCGGUAGUCCUAGCCGUAAACGAUGGGCACUAAGUAGAGGGGUUUUA